GUCGGUAAAACUCGUGCCAGCCACCGCGGUUAUACGAGAGACCCUAGUUGAUAAAAGCGGCGUAAAGAGUGGUUAUGGACUUUUUUUAUUAAAGUGGAAAACCUCUCAAACUGUUAUACGCACCCAGAAGUUGAAACCCCUUACACGAAAGUGACUUUAUCUUCGCCCACCAGAACCCACGAAAGCUGAGACACAAACUGGGAUUAGAUACCCCACUAUG
rnacentral:rRNA from 2 species